CGAAAUCCAAGUCCAAGAAGAAGGACCGUACGUCGAGAUGGCCGGCGUCGUGGUGGUGUUCGACUUCGACAAGGCCAUCAUCGACGUCGACAGCGACAACUGGGUCGUCGACGGCCUCGGCGCCACGGAGCUCUUCGACAGCCUGCUGCCCACCAUGCCGUGGAACACCCUCAUCGACACCGUCAUGGGGGAGCUGCACGCGCAGGGCAGGACCCUCCGCGACGUCGCCGACGUGCUCCGGGCCGCGCCCAUCGACCCGCACGUCGUCGCCACCAUCCGGGCCGCCCACAGCCUCGGCUGCGACCUCAGGGUCCUCAGCGACGCCAACCGCUUCUUCAUCGAGACCGUCCUCGACCACCACGGCCUCCGGGGCUGCUUCUCCGAGAUCAACACCAACCCCAGCCGCGUCGACGCCGACGGCCGCCUCCGCAUCGCGCCGCACCACGACUUCCACGCCGGCCCGCACGGCUGCGGCCUCGGCACAUGCCCGCCCAACAUGUGCUAGGGCCAGGUGCUCGACCGCAUCCGCGCCUCCGCCGCGGUGGACGGCGCCAGGAAGCGCUUCAUCUACCUCGGCGACGGCCGCGGCGACUUCUGCCCGUCGCUGCGGCUCGCCAGGGACGACUUCAUGAUGCCGCGCAAGGGCUUCCCCGUGUGGGACCUCAUGUGCGAGAACCCUGGCCUGCUCCAGGCGGAGGUGCACCCGUGGAGCGACGGCAAGGACAUGGAGGAGACGCUGCUGCGGCUCAUCAGCCGGGUGCUCGUCGAGGAGAGCCAGCUGCUGCCGCUCGACUGCAAGCUCGAGUCGCUGCCGGUGGCCGUCCAGGACGGCAUGCCCAUGCCGCUCGUCGUCAAGAACUGAUCCAUCCAACCGUGCUGCAUUACGCUUAAUUUGGGGACCGAUACCUUGUCAUCCAAUGGCGAACUCGAUAGUAGUAGUACAGUAUUUGACUAAUUUGUGCGUGUUGUCCUUGAGCCAACUGGCAAUGCUGAAGCUCGAUGUAUCCCAUCUAUCUAUUGAUUGACGAAUACAUGAGUUGAUGUGGCGAAAGUCAAUUUCGGCCCAUCGAUAUUUCACGAAUUUGUUCAAGCCAACACACAUCGA
rnacentral:rRNA from 1 species